rnacentral:rRNA from 1 species
AUUGAACGCUGGCGGCAUGCUUUACACAUGCAAGUCGAGCGGCAGCGCGGGGCGAACCCUCGGCGGCGAGCGGCGAACGGGUAGAGUAAUACAUCGGAACGUACCCAGGAGUGGGGAGUANCCCGGCGAAGACCGGNUUAAUACCGCAUACGAUCUUAGGAGUGAAAGGUAGGGGGACCGCAAGGCCUCACGCUUUUGGAGCGGCCGAUGUCCGAUUAGCUAGUUGGUGGGGUAAAGGCCUACCAAGGCGACGAUCGGUAGCUGGUCUGAGAGGAUGAUCAGCCACACUGGGACUGAGACACGGCCCA